UACGUAGGGGACAAGCGUUGUCCGGAUUUACUGGGCGUAAAGGGCACGCAGGCGGUUUUUUAAGUCAGAUGUGAAAGGUCCCGGCUCAACCGGGGAAAUGCAUUUGAAACUGGAGAACUUGAGUAUUGGAGAGGCAAGUGGAAUUCCUAGUGUAGCGGUGAAAUGCGUAGAGAUUAGGAGGAACACCAGUGGCGAAGGCGGCUUGCUGGACAAAUACUGACGCUGAGGUGCGAAAGCGUGGGGAGCAAACAGG
rnacentral:rRNA from 1 species